rnacentral:misc_RNA from 1 species
GAACUCUAUAAAGAUUAUAUCGUCAUAUAUUGAAACUGAACGUAAAUCAUCAUCCGUGCAACAGAAAUCAAACAAUCCUAAAGCAGGUAAAUUUGGAAGUCUUCUUGAUGCUACCCAAGCAAAAAUAAUUGCCAUGCGAUUGGAUAAAUAAGCCAAAUAAGCAUCAGGGAAAACCUCAAUUUUCAUACAGACCGCAACUAGAAGCAGAGAAGCCAACAAUGGACUCCACUAGGCCCCGCAGACUAAAGCUAAAAACGAAAGAACAAAAUAACAUUGGAAAUAAAAAUGCUAUAACACCAUGAGGCUUAAUUUGCAACUAAGAAUGACCUAUCUGUAUCCUAUAUCUAUUAUCUAUCUCAAAACAAACAGAAGCUGAUAAACAACAAACAAUAAAUGCUGCAGAAGCCGCAUUCCAUGGCUUUGCAUAUGGCAGGGUGGCCCAUAAGUGAUAAAAUUAAUUUGUUGGGUCUGAAUCAUAAAAAGUAGCAUUUCUCAAUAGGAUCGCAAUGCAGUUUUAGCACUGUCUUUCUGGUUCACUGUGAGGACGUGUUAUUGUAUUCUCCGGCAACCCAAUACUGUUUGACAGCAAACAACACCUUUUCUGAGACAAGUGGACCAUCCUCAUGAUCCACCAUUUUUGUAUUCCAUCUCAUUCCUCCAACAAUUCUCUUCACCUUAAUCAGCACCUCCAUUUGAUCACGCAAUAUGACUGCUCCUUCGGGCCUUAAUAUUCGGUCCAUCUCUAUAAGAAUGUCUUCCAUGUUGCACUUAUCUUUAUACAAGCUGAACAAACCAUUUGCAUGAAUAAGGUCGUACGUCCUCGGGUAUGUGGAGAAGGCUUCACACCAAUCAUGAUAUAUGCCGAUCAAACCACGCUCAUAUAUAACACCUAAGGUAUCUUUUUCAGCUAUUGUAGGCAUAACAUUCAUAACCCACAAUUUUGGAGAUUCAAGGGCUGCGGCAAAACCUCCCAUACCAGCAUUCAUAUCCAUGAUAUUGCGGUACCUCCCUGAGUCAAGGAUUUUGUUUAUCCUCUUAUAAGCAUUGACAUGCUUUUUCCAAAGGCGGGUGUCCUCCAGGUAUGCCUCAACAGACACUCCAGGAAUAGAGCCACUAGAUAUUCUAAAAGGAACGGCAUUAAGUCUCUCUUGGAAUGGCUGCCAUGGCGCACCAGCAACUUCAUUCGGCCCAUGGGUCUCAAGAUAGGGAGUCACACAUGCCUCCAUUUUCUUGUACCACACAU